UGGCGGCGUGCCUAAUACAUGCAAGUCGAGCGCAGGAAGCCGUCUGAACCCUUCGGGGGGACGACGGUGGAAUGAGCGGCGGACGGGUGAGUAACACGUAAAGAACCUGCCCAUAGGUCUGGGAUAACCACGAGAAAUCGGGGCUAAUACCGGAUGUGUCAUCGGACCGCAUGGUCCGCUGAUGAAAGGCGCUCCGGCGUCGCCCAUGGAUGGCUUUGCGGUGCAUUAGCUAGUUGGUGGGGUAACGGCCCACCAAGGCGACGAUGCAUAGCCGACCUGAGAGGGUGAUCGGCCACACUGGGACUGAGACACGGCCCAGACUCCUACGGGAGGCAGCAGUAGGGAAUCUUCCACAAUGGACGAAAGUCUGAUGGAGCAACGCCGCGUGAACGAUGAAGGCUUUCGGGUCGUAAAGUUCUGUUGUAAGGGAAGAACAAGUGCCGCAGGCAAUGGCGGCACCUUGACGGUACCUUGCGAGAAAGCCA
rnacentral:rRNA from 1 species